AUGGGCGCACAGCUCCUCUGCUCUGUAGUGCUAUGCCUCCUGGGGGCAGGCUCCUUUUAUGCUGCAGUUACUCAGACUCCAAGACAUCUGAUCAAAAUGAAAGGAGAGAAAGCAAAGAUGAACUGUACCCCUGAAAAGGAGCACACUGCCGUGUUCUGGUAUCAACAGACACAGAGCAGAGAGUUAAAGUUCCUAAUUUACUUUCAGAAUCAACGGCCUGUUGAUCAAAUAGACAUGAUUAAGGAGCGAUUCUCAGCUGAGUGUCCCUCAAGUUCACUCUGCAGCCUGGAAAUCAAAACUUCUGAGGCAGAGGACACUGCACUGUACUUCUGUGCCAGCAGUCGGUCCACAGUGCUAAACUGUGCACUUCCUUCAGUUCACAAACCCUCCAUGGUGCCAACUUAA